rnacentral:rRNA from 1 species
UCUACGGGUGGCCACAGUGGGGAAUAUUGGGCAAUGUGCGCAAGCCUGACCCAGCAACGCCGCGUGAAGGAAGAAGGCUUUCGGGUUGUAAACUUCUUUUGUCAGGGACGAAGCAAGUGACGGUACCUGACGAAUAAGUCACGGAUAACUACGUGCCAGCAGCCGCGGUAAUACGGAGGUGGCAAGAGUUAUCCGGAUUGACUGGGUUUAAAGGGUGUGUAGGCGGGACUGCAAGUCAGAUGUGAAAACCCCGGGCUCAACCUGUGGCCUACAUUUGAAACUGUAGUUCUUGAGUACUGGAGAGGCAGACGGAAUGCCUAGUGUAGCGGUGAAAUGCGUAGAUAGUAGGAGGAACACCAGUGGCGAAGGCGGUCUGCUGGACAGCAACUGACGCUGAGGCGCGAAAGCGUGGGGAGCAAACAGGAUUAGAUACCCUUGUAGUC